CCUACGGGUGGCAGCAGUGAGGAAUAUUGGUCAAUGGGCGGGAGCCUGAACCAGCCAAGUCGCGUGAGGGAAGACGGUCCUAUGGAUUGUAAACCUCUUUAGGCGGGGAGCAAUGCCGGGCACGCGUGCCCGGAGGGAGAGUACCCGCAGCAUAAGCAUCGGCUAACUCGGUUCCAGCAGCCGCGGUAAUACGGAGGAUGCGAGCGUUAUCCGGAUUUAUUGGGUUUGAAGGGUGCGUAGGCGGAUUUUUAAGUCAGCGGUAAAAUGUCCGGGCUCAACCCGGGCCGGCUGUUGAGACUGGGGAUCUGGAGUGGGAGAGAAGUAUGCGGAAUGCGUGGUGUAGCGGUGAAAUGCAUAGAUAUCACGCAGAACUCCGAUUGCGAAGGCAGCAUACCGGCGCCCGACUGACGCUGAGGCACGAAAGCGUGGGGAUCGAACAGGAUUAGAUACCCGUGUAGUC
rnacentral:rRNA from 1 species